rnacentral:rRNA from 1 species
GACAGAGGGUGCGAACGUUGUUCGGAAUUACUGGGCGUAAAGCGCAUGUAGGCGGCAACGCAAGUCGGGCGUGAAAUCCCACGGCUCAACCGUGGAAGUGCACUCGAAACUGCGUAGCUAGAGUCCUGGAGAGGAAGGUGGAAUGCUUGGUGUAGCGGUGGAAUGCGCAGAUAUCAGGAGGAACACCAAUAGCGAAGGCAGCUCGCUGGGACGUUACUGACACUGAGGCGCGAAAGCGUGGGGAGCGAACAGG